UCAACUCAACUUUCUCAUUUUCACGCUCUCCAUUCUUUCCAUUUGUUUCUUUCUCAUGGCCGAAGAUCAAAUUCCAAAAUCCAAAUGGGAAGGCAAAACCUCUGCUGAUCUUGAAGGCUCAUCAGCUGGACAAGUUUGGCCUCUCCUGGCCGAUUUCUGCAGCAUACACAAGUGGUUCCCCGAUAUUGCCACGUGUUACCAAGUGGAUGGCGUCCCUGGCCAACCGGGUCUGAUCCGGUACUGCGCCCGUGCUCCUAUUGAUAAUGAUGAGUCCACCAUCAAGUGGGCCAAAGAGAAGCUACUGUCCCUUGAUCCAAUCCAACGGUGUUUGAGCUAUGAGAUUAUUGAGAGCAAUCUUGGGUUUAAGUCGUAUGUUGCGGUAAUGCAAGUAGUCCCGAUCAACGGCGGAGAUGGCAGCAUUGGGUGCAAGAUCGAGUGGUCGUUUGUUUGCGAUCCGAUUGAAGGGUGGGGAUUGAAUGAUUUUCGUUCAUACCUUGACUCUUCUCUUCAAUUGAUGGCAGAGAAGAUGAUGGAGCAUACUCUUCUAUCUACCACGGGGUAACAAUAAUUGUUGUUUGCUAAUAUUGUUGUGUUGGUGUGUUUAUAUAUUAUGUAAAUAAUUCCAAGACUAGAACGUUGUAGUAUGUUAAAUAAUUGAAUGUUUUAUUUCAAGUUAUGUUUUACAAUAAUGUUUUAUACAAAUGAUAUUAGAUAAUGAGAAUUAAACACGGUUUCGACAAAAAGUACCAUAGGUAAAGAAAAAAAAGGGCUUCUUAGAUUUAUGUCCAAAACGAUUAGCUGUAAUUGGGUUUAAUCCUUAUGUUUUUUGUUUUAGAUGUAAGUCCUUUGACAUUUAUUACUUUUUUUGUUGUGUCGAUUUUACCCUUUGAGGUAAAUAAGAAAAGCACAUUGAAAAUCUAAAUUUAAUGCAUUAUUUCUUUGUAAUUGAAUUCCUGAAUUUGGAAUUUGAAAAUUUUCCUUGAUAAUAUUCCUAAUAUAUGGAUAAAAUACAAUUUAAUCAAUAAAAAGUAAAGAUCCACAUAUUAUACCAAUCGAUUAGACAAGCACUCACAUUAAAUUAUGUACCUGACAUACAGGUAAAUAGUGUUAUUAUUAGCAACGAAAAAUACUUAGUGAUAAAUCAUGUUACCUAUAAGUUAUGAACAUAAAUUAGAAGACUACCUAUAAGUCAGAUACAAAAAUAGGCAAAAUAAAAAUUGUAUGUUACCUAUAAUUAAAAAAAAAGGUACAUAAAAUACUAUUACACAUUGUCAAAAUAUAUGAAACAACAUAUAUAUACCUAUGCAAUAGGCAAUAGGCAAUAUCACAUAAAUGAUUAUUACCCGACUCAAGUCAUAAGGGGCAACAUUGGACACAAAAAAUAAUUUUAAAAAUAAAAUAAUAAAAUAAUAUUUAAAAAUGAAAGUAAUUCUAUGUGGCACAUAAUUUUUCAAAAUGAAAAUAAUUCUAUGUAGCACAAAAGUCAAAGGACUUGGAUCAAAGUCACCAAAUCUGAGGAUUAAACCCAACUCCCCAACUCCUCAAUAGAAAUUUGGAUUUAUAUCAACUUUUCUAUAAAUUAAAAACGAAACAAUAGCUUUCAGCCAAGAUGAACAUUGAUCUAUAAUAUAUGACCAGAAUGAUCACAAAGCCACCGUGUAAAUUGAAUUCGUCUAGAGUAGAUUACAUUUGCUGGAAAUUUACAUUUGUCUAGAGUUGAUUAUCGCUUGUAUAAAAUAUAUAUAUAUAAUCUUUAAAAUAAAACUCCAAUUUUCUAAUGAUAAAAAAAGAAAAUAAAGCCCUAAUUGAACUAACGUGCAACUUAACAUCGUUAGUCUUUCUUCCUUUUUUUUUCUUUUUUUUUUGGUGAAGGAACGGGGCUAACGCCCAACAAAGAAAUUAAACAAUGGCACGAGGCCUACAGACUCCAAGUAAAUCCUCACUAAGAAAGGACCUAAUACUGUCAUGAGGGUCAUGGAAAGUUGACAGACCCAACCCAAGACAUGAACUCAAUUCAGCUAGUUUAUUUGCUACCAUGUUGCAUUCACGAUAUACAUGAUGAAUAGAACAAACCCAGUUUUUGUUUAUAUAGGCUUGGCAUCCCCACAACAUAGUAGCAAGAGGAUGAAAGUCUUCCACAUUUUUGUUAAGCAGGUGUACCGCAGUCGCUGAGUCAUACUCAAGCACAACUGCACUGCAACCUAUAUCCCAAGUAAUUUUCAGUCCAAGAUAGAUGCCCCAUAACUUAGCUUCCAAGACUUGUCCUACACCAAGAUUGACAGCAAAGCCUCUCAUCCACUGCCCAUAACUAUCUCUUAGUACACCCCCAGCAGCAAUGCGUCCAUCCUCACCUUUUCUGCACCAGUCGGUAUUGAUUUUAAUCACUCAUUCAUUCGAAUAUUGCCAAGAGAGCGGGUGGGUUUUCUAGUUUUUUCAAUAUUGGCCUGUGUCCAAUCUGCAGCAGCCAUAAGAAUGAUGUGUCUGGGGUUGUUGGGAAACACAAACCCAUGAUCAAAAAUAUUUUUGUUCCUCCAUUUCCAAAGAAACUAGCAAGUGAAAGCAAACAUGGUUGACCACUCCACUCCAUAAGUCAAAAUUGUAGAGUUGUGUAAAUUUUUUGCAACCCAAGUAUGAAGAUCAACAGCCUGCAGCAAACUCAUAUUCAUAGGCAUAAGGGACUGAUGCCAAACUGAAAUUGUCGCUGGGCAAUUCCGUACAAUAUGAGCUGCAUUCUCCAUUGGGGCACCACAAAUAUCACAAUUGGCAGUCAUGGUCAUCUUUCUUUUAACUCUUUGAUAAUUUGUUAAGAGUUUAUCUUGGUGCAGCAACCAAAGGAAAUAUUUAAUUUUGAGGGGGGCCUUAAUGUUCCAUAUAAAAGCCCAGCUAACAUCCAUACUCGACGACUCCCGACAAUUAGCCAUAUAUGCUGAUUUAACACUGAAAGAGCCAUUGGUAGUAUGCUUCCAAAUAGGAAUAUCUGAUUUACAACUUAAUCCAGCAGGUACACACGUAAUAUGACCUACCAUCUCAAGUGGUAAAUCUUCCUUUAGCUUUUCCAGGUCCCAAGUGCCAUGAAACAAAUAGUCAUAAACUUUCAAUUGUAAUUUAUCUUGAGGCACCCUCCCUAACCGACUUAUCAAUGGCCCAUCACCAACCCAAUUAUCUGUCCAAAAUAAAGUGUGCAACCCCUCUCCCGCUCUAAUUUUUAUCCUUUUUUUCAAAAUAUUUGCACCAUGUUCAAUAGCACGCCAUGUAGGAGAAAGAUGCGAGUGCUUUGCCCUUUCAUUGCAAAUAAUAUUAGAAGCAUUACCUUGUAGGUAUUUCUGAAUUAGAGCAUUUGACCAGAGGCUUUUCCUUGUGUUGCAAUAAUCUCCAUCCUACCUUGGCCAACAUAGAUUAGUUCAUAAGAUCAGAUUGCUUAAGACCAAGACCGCUUUUCUUCUUGCUUUUACAAAAUGUGUCUCACUUCACAAGGCUGGCCUUCGAAACAUCAUCACUACUCCCCCAUUAAAAAAAUUCUGUUUAUUUUAUCCAACUCCUCGUAGGUACUAGCAGGGAGCCGAACAAUUUGCAUAGUGUACAAAGAAAUGGAAGCAGUCACUGAUUGAAUUAAAGUUGCUCUGCCAGGAAAACUAAGCAACUUGCCUUUCCGAGUAGUAAGCUUUUGCUGCACUUUAUCCACCACACUUCAAUAAGUAGCCUUAUUUAGUCUUGUAUGAAUUAAUGGGACCCCCAGAUAUUUCCCAAGGUUCGAAGUCAAAGGAGAUUCACAAAUACUACUAAUCUCUGCAGCCAAACUAUUUGGAACAUUUGGGGAACAUAAUAUUUGGGACUUCUCAAAACUCAUGACCUGACCAGAAGCUCGGCAAAAUUUAUCAAGAUAUCUCUUCAUCACUCUUGCAUGUUGCGUGCUAGCUUCAGCAAAAAGGAGUAAAUCAUCCGCAAAACAAAGGUGGGAAAUCUUAGGACCAGUUCUAGAGAUACUGACUGCUCGCCACUCCUUUUUUUACAACAGCCUCACUAAUUAGAUGGGAUAAUUUCUCAAGACACAACACAAACAAAUAAGGGGAGAGGGGGUCCCCUUGUCUCAGUCCUCUUUCAGGAGCAAAGAAAGGAGUAGCUUCACCAUUCAAAUUUACUUGGAAGUGAACCGUGGUAACACAUUGCAUGAUAAUCUUGAUUGUAGCCGCUGGGAGUUUGAUUUCUCUAAGCACAAAUUCCAGAAAACCCCAGUUGACUCUGUCAUAAGCCUUAGAAAGAUCAAUUUUCCAAGCAACAAACCCUUUCUUCCCUUUGGAGUGUCUAAAUUUAUGAAGGAGAUCUUACACUAGAACAAUGUUGUCAGAGAUUAGUCUUCCAGCGAUGAAACUAGCCUGAUUAGGACUGAUCAAAGUUUUAAGUAGAGGUCUUAGCCUAUUUAUUAAAAUCUUUGAAAUGGUCUUGUAGAGGGUGUUACACAAACUAAUUGGCCUCAUUUGCACCAUAGACCUAGUCACCUUUGGGACAAGAACAAUUAAAGUCCUAAUGAGAUCAUAUGGGAUUUCUCCAGUAGUAAAAACUUGCUUUACCAAAUCACACACCUCAGCACCACAUAUUUCCCAGCACUGUUGGUAAAAGCAUGUAGCAAAGCCAUCUGGACCAGGUUUGGAAAAUAAUGGAUAGCAAUAUUUUUCAGGCCCUCUUUAUCAGUCACCCAGUUCCCAUCGUCAUCUUUGAGACCAAGAAUUUUGUUUCUUUUGGGUCGAACCACCGUCGUCAUGUGAAAAAAUUUAGUAUUUCUAUCCCCAUCUUUGUGCCAGUUGGCUCUUGAUUUUUGCAUCCACAACAACUCUUCUUGAUCAAGAAUUUGUGAAAAAGUAUAAAACGAACCAAAUGAGACAAAUGGUACCAAUAACAAAGCCUGAACCCAAAAACCAAUUGUGAAGAAGACAAAUGGUGGGCAUCUCAGCUGUUGCUAUUCUUAUGGAAAUAGAAACGGUCUUGCUAUUCUAAAAAAAAAGAAAGAAGAAGGAAAAAAGAGAAGACUACACUGAUCAUUAUUAUUUUUUUUAAAAAAAAAUUUCGUUGUCGGGAGUUCAACCUAGAUGAUAAACUCAAUCUAUUUUAUUGGGCUACAGCAGAUUGACUGUUAUUAAUUGGGAAUAAAAGUUAUAUAAAUGAAAAUUACUAGGCAUAUAUCAUUAGGCAUAAAAUUAAGAGAUAAAAGAAAUUGAAAAUAAUAAAAGGUUUUUCCGCUGCCGGGAGUUGAACCCGGAUGAUAAACUCAAUCCAUUUUAUUGGGCUACAGCAGAUUGGAUGUUAUUUAUUGGAAAUAAAAGUUAUAUAAAUAAGAAUUACUAGGCAUAUAUCAUUAGGCAUAAAAUUAAGAGAUAAAAGAAAUUGAAAAUAAUAAAAGGUUUUUCCGCUGCCGGGAGUUGAACCCGGAUGAUAAACUCAAUCCAUUUUAUUGGGCUACAGCGGAUUGGAUGUUAUUGAUUGGGAAUAAAAGUUAUAUAAAUGAAAUUUACUAGGCAUAUAUCAUUAGGCAUAAACUUAAGAGAUAAAAGAAAUUGAAAAUAAUAAAAGGUUUUUCCGCUGCCGGGAGUUGAACCCGGAUGAUAAACUCAAUCCAUUUUAUUGGGCUACAGCGGAUUGGAUGUUAUUUAUUGGGAAUAAAAGUUAUAUAAAUGAAAAUUACUAGGCAUAUAUCAUUAGGCAUAAAAUUAAGAGAUAAAAGAAAUUGAAAAUAAUAAAAGGUUUUUCCGCUGCCGGGAGUUGAACCCGGAUGAUAAACUCAAUCCAUUUUAUUAGGCUACAGCGGAUUGGAUGUUACUGAUUGGGAAUAAAAGUUAUAUCAAUGAAAAUUACUAGGCAUAAAAUUCAGAGAUAAAAGAAAUUGAAAAUAUAAAGGGCUCGUUUGGUACACAGGACUGUCUUGGCAUGGACUAUGUUUAGGGACUGGUUUGGCUUGGCUUGGCUUGGUCUAAGUUGGAUAACAUUUAUCCUGCGUUUGGUGUAUGCUUGGACUAUGACUAGAAUUUUUUUUAUUUUUUCAAAAAUAUCUAUAUAUAUGUAUAUAUGUAUUUUAUAAUAUAUAUAAUAUAUAUGUAUAUAUACAUACAUAUAAUAUAUAUAUGUAUAUAUACAUGUAUAUAAGUAUAUUAUAAUAAUAUUAUAUAUUUUAAAUAAUAUAAACGUACAUACAUAUAUAUAUAAGUGUAUAUAGGUGUAUAUAUGUAUAUUAUAAUAUACAUGGGUAUAAUACAUAUACAUAUAUUUAUAUAUAUGUAUGUAUAAUAUAAUAUAUAAUAUAUAUGGGUAUGUUAUAAUAAUAAUAAUAAUAUACAUGUAUAUACGUGUAUAUACAUAUAUUAUAUAUGUAUUUAUAUAUACAUAUACAUUAUAUAUAUUAUAAAAUACAUAUGUAUAUAUAAUAUAUGUAUAUAUUAUAUAUUAUAAUAUACAUAUAUAUAUACGUAUAUACAUGUAUAUAAUAUAUGUGUAUAUAGGUGUAUCUAUAUAUUAUAAUAUAUACAUGGGUAUAAUACAUAUACAUAUAUAUGUAUAUUAUAAUAGAUAAUAUAUAUGGGUAUGUUAUAAUAAUAAUAUACAUGUAUAUAUGUAUAUUAUAAUAUAUAUACAUAUAGUAUAAAUAUAUAAUGUAUAUGUGUAUAUACGUGUGUAUAUGUAUAUUAUAAUACAUACAUGGGUAUAAUAUAUAUACACAUAUAUGUAUAUAUACUUAUAUAUAUUACAUAUAUACAUGUAUGCUAUUAUUAUAAUAUUAAUAUGUAUGUGUAUAUGAGUAUAUUAUAAUAAUAAUAUACGUGUAUAUAUCUAUAUGUAUUUAUAUAUUAUAUAUGUAUAUAUGUGCCUAUACAUAUCUGUAUCUACGUGCAUAAAUCCACAUUAAUGUAUGAUCAUAACAUAUAUUACAUAUAUACAUAGUAUGUAAUAGUAUAACAUUACUAUGUAUGCGUAUAUGAGUAUAUUAUAUAAUUAAAGGAUGAGGACCGAUCUAUCUGCAAAUAUAUAUANNNNNNNNNNNNNNNNNNNNNNNNNNNNNNNNNNNNNNNNNNNNNNNNNNNNNNNNNNNNNNNNNNNNNNNNNNNNNNNNNNNNNNNNNNNNNNNNNNNNNNNNNNNNNNNNNNNNNNNNNNNNNNNNNNNNNNNNNNNNNNNNNNNNNNNNNNNNNNNNNNNNNNNNNNNNNNNNNNNNNNNNNNNNNNNNCUAGCUAAUCCUCCCUUUCUACAUGGGUUUAGUAGUCCCCUCCUAGUGAGGUAUUUUUGGUGGGCCCGGUAUUAGCAAUCUCAUCUAAGACUAGAAUUAAAUGAAACAAACAUGGUACUAAAUUUAGUCCAAUCUAGUCCAAGCCAAGCCUGUGUACCAAACGACCCCAAGGUUUUUCCGCUGCCGGGAAUCGAACCCGGAUGAUAAACUCAAUCCAUUUUAUUGGGCUACAGCGGAUUGGAUGUUAUUGAUUGGAAAUAAAAGUUAUAUGGGUUAAUGACCUAAAUGGUCUUCCAAUUAUUGCUCCAUUAUCAUUUUGGUCCAUCAACUAAAAUUUUCAAUUCAAACGUCCUUAAACUAUUUAUUUUGUACCAAGAUGGUCCAUCCGUCAAAGUCUGUGUAUUAUUCCGUGAAAUCGAGGGACAAAACUGUAUUUUUAGGUGAGUAUCCUCCUCUAAAAGGGUUAUUGAUCCCAAUGGUCCCCCAACUAUUACUCCAGUAUCAUUUUAGUUCACCAACUAAAAUUUUCAUUUGAACCGUCCUUCAACUUUUUUUUUUUUUUUUUUUGUAUCAAGGAAACUAUUAUAAAACUUAAAAAAUUUUAAAAAAUUGAAUCUCACUAGCUACAUGGCUUUUUUUUUUUGGUGAGACUGACCUAACAAUUAAUAAUAAAAAUUAUUUAUUGUUUAAAUUAAUUAAAAUCACACACACACACACAUAUAUAUAUAAUAACAAAUUUUUUAAAAGAGCAAACAAUAAUUUAAAAUUAAAGGAAACUAUUAUAGGAACUUGUACCUAAUUUUAAAAUUGAAAAAGUUGAAUCUCACCACCAACAUGGUUUUUUAUUUUAUUUUAUGACAUGGACUUAAAAAGUAAUAUUUUUUUUUCUCUAUUGUUUAAAGUAAUUAAAAAUUUUAAAAUAAGAUAAAUACAAAAAUAAAUAACAAUAAAAUUGACGGACUUUGACAGUAGGACCAUCUUGAUACCCAAAAAAAAAAAAAAAGUGGAAGGACGGUUCAAAUGAAAAUUUUAGUUUGUGGACCAAAAUGAUACUGGAGCAAUAGUUGAGGGACCAUUUUAGUCAUACCCUUCGAUAGAGCUUCUCAAAAAGUCGCAUAUACCCUUCAAAACUUAGUCACGUGGCCAUCGCGUGAUCAGAAAUAAUGGAAUCUGUCAUGAAUGGACCAUUUUUGUACAAAAUAAAAAGUUUAAGGACGUUUGAAUUGAAAAUUUUAGUUGGUGGACCAAAAUGAUAAUGGAGCAAUAGUUGGGGGCCCAUUUAGGUCAUUAACCCAAAGUUAUAUAAAUGAAAAUUACUAGGCAUAUAUCAUUUGGUAUAAAAUUAAGAGAUAAAAGAAAUUGAAAAUAAUAAAAGGUUUUUCGGCUGUCGGGAGUUGAACCCGGAAGAUAAAUUCAAUCCAUUUUAUUAAGCUAGAGAGGAUUGGAUGUUAUUAAUUGAGAAUAAAAGUUAUAUAAUCAUCUGUACCUUUGUAAGUGGUAGCUAAAAGUUAUUAAUUGAUGAGGUUGUUUUGGUAAAUCUCUUAUGACAUAUCCCAACUUCCAUUCCACUCCACUCAAGACAUAUCACAUAUUGGAAUCCAAAAAAAAAAGAAUAUUUUGACAUUUGUGGUUGAAAGUUGAGUUGAGUGAGUUGUGAUGAGCUAGCACUCAACUCAACUUUCUCAUUUUCACGCUCACCAUUCUUUCCAUUUGUUUCUUUCUCAUGGCAGAAGAUCAAAUUCCAAAGUCCAAAUGGGAAGGCAAAACCUCUGCUGAUCUUGAAGGCUCAUCAGCUGAACAAGUUUGGCCUCUCCUGGCCGAUUUCUGCAGCUUACACAAGUGGUUCCCCGAUAUUGCCACGUGUUACCGAGUGGAUGGCGUCCCUGGCCAACCGGGUCUGAUCCGGUACUGCGCCC
rnacentral:lncRNA from 1 species